AACGAACGCUGGCGGCGUGCUUAACACAUGCAAGUCGAACGGGAUUCAGAGCUUGCUCUGAUGAGAGUGGCGCACGGGUGAGUAACGCGUGGAUAACCUGCCCUGGUAUCUGGAAUAACAUCUCGAAAGGGGUGCUAAUACCGGAUAAGCUUACGAUUCCCUCGGGAGUUGUGAGAAAAGGUGGCCUCUAUUUAUAAGCUACCGUAUCAGGAUGGGUCCGCGUACCAUUAGCUAGUUGGUGGGGUAAUGGCCUACCAAGGCGACGAUGGUUAGCUGGUCUGAGAGGAUGAUCAGCCACACUGGAACUGAGACACGGUCCAGACUCCUACGGGAGGCAGCAGUGGGGAAUUUUGCGCAAUGGGGGAAACCCUGACGCAGCAACGCCGCGUGAGUGAUGAAGGCUUUCGGGUCGUAAAGCUCUGUCAGUAGGGAAGAAGUGUAAUGGUGCUAAUACCACCUUUACUUGACGGUACCUACAAAGGAAGCACCGGCUAACUCCGUGCCAGCCGCCGCCGUAA
rnacentral:rRNA from 1 species